rnacentral:rRNA from 1 species
CAGUAGCCGCGGUAAUACGUAGGGUGCGAGCGUUAAUCGGAAUUACUGGGCGUAAAGCGUGCGCAGGCGGUUUUGUAAGACAGAGGUGAAAUCCCCGGGCUCAACCUGGGAACUGCCUUUGUGACUGCAAGGCUAGAGUACGGCAGAGGGGGAUGGAAUUCCGCGUGUAGCAGUGAAAUGCGUAGAUAUGCGGAGGAACACCGAUGGCGAAGGCAAUCCCCUGGGCCUGUACUGACGCUCAUGCACGAAAGCGUGGGGAGCAAACAGGAUUAGAUACCCCUGUAGUCCCUGUCUCUUAUAA